GUGGGAAUAUCUUCUGAGCUCUGAGGGUUUCAAAGGACUAGCCAGACACUAUCUCCACACAGAUAGAUACCCUGAAGCUAGACUACUUGAACUCGGGUGGUUGAGUGCCAACAGGACUGAAGGCAAAGAGGGACCACUGAGAAACAAGCAAAAUGUAACACAUGAGGGCUACAUAGAUCAGACCACAAAGUGACCAUCUUACAUGCCCCAAGGACAGUAGGAUUGGGGGCACACUACUUGCAUGGGAAUUGUCUCUCGGACUGGGACUGGACAAGCAACUCCUACGAGUAGGCUGGAGAGUGGUGGCACACCCUUGGCAAUGGAGGCAAAGAAGCCUCAGCCAGUUUACUCCCGGGCUCCACCUCUGAGCCUCAUGCCAUUCCACAGACACAUCUAUGACAGGAGGCAGGCUUGGAGGCAGUUCAGAAGAUGGUGAAUGCUUAGGAGAUGGGGUUGACAGGGUGUUGUGUGGCAACUCUGCCUUUGCACUAGUACUAGAACUUUUGCGUCUGUUGCUCUACUCAGCUGACACCACAACAGAGCAUAGGGCCAGGCUAUGAGGCCUGCAAUAUUUUGGAAUAGUUCCACUGAAGUGAGUGGGCCUGGAAGAAUAUAAUGGACUGUGUUUAAGAGUGACUGUAACAAACUGGCAACUAUAUUGAACCAAAAAGGGGGGAUGUUAAUGCAUUUAAGAUGACUACUAUAUAAACAUCUUUCUUCUAUAGUGAGAUAAGAGAGUCUCCCACAGAUGUGUUGGACCAAAUAAGUUCAAUGUAAUGUCAUUCUAAACUAAUAUCCAUAUGUUUUCACUAUUUAUUUUUAUUGGUGAACGCACUUGCUCAUUUAAUUAGAUUAUGGUGGAAAUGAAACACAGUUCUCUUGCUAUGGAGAAUCUGAUUCAGAUAAAAGUCAUAUGGCCAGGAAGCAGUAACAAUGAAUCUCAAACUGUUAUCUCUGGGGAAAAUCUUGAAAUUACCCUGAGGGUGGUUGAGGAGUAUGAUACAACAUGGCUAGGAUAGAAUAAGAGGAGAGAUUUCUGGCCAGAAUAAUGUGCUGAU